AAUAUCCUGAAAUGUACGAGGCCCCUUCUUUUUUUGAACCUACAUCGACUUUAACGGGAACCCAACAUCGCAGGCCGGAUGUCAGGCCGUCAUUAUGCAGCGGAAGACAGAAGGUCUGUUGAGGAUACCCACCUAGCUGCGGCUAGGCGUCAAUGGGAAGGGAACGGCAUUUCGGGAACUGU
rfam:Ruminococcus sp. CAG:9 genomic scaffold, scf407